rnacentral:snRNA from 1 species
AAAUGUGAGGUGAUCUGGCUGUGGCAUCCUUUGCCUCACUGAUUGCCAGGGUUGAUUCGGCUGGUCUGGCUGGCUAGGUGGGGGUCCCCUUCCUCCCCCACCGCUCCAUGUGUGCGCCUCCCAAAGCUGCAUGCUUGCUCUGGGUCAGUUGAAGAGGAGGACCUUCCCUGAAUAGAGGAGGACCGGUCUUUGGUCAAGGUAUAGGAGCAGCUGCGCUCCCCCACAGAACCUUCAAGCAAGCUCCAUGGUCCUCUUGUAGGAGACCGGAGGGUAGUCAGGCUUCCAAGACUCCAGACACACCCAAAGGAGGCGCUGCACGGGGCAGUCUGCCUUUGUUU